GGUUGGCUGAGGUGAGCAGAUUUCAUCAGAACACGACCGGUACGCUCUUAAAAUGUUUAGUUUUGUCUAGUUAGCCAUUCAACAAAAUCUACAGCUUCAUGUUUCAACUUGUAUUUCUGUUUGGUUUCUUCUCAGGUUGCGUUCUGCUGGUGCUUUAGUGUUUCAACAUCCUGGUUCUCCUCCUGUAUCAGAUCCUCCUGUUGCCAUGAAGACUGUUCUUUGUUUUUAUAUCUGGUGGAUUCUCUUCCUCCGUGUUUCCUCCGAUUCUUCUGCUGAUGAAACUUCAGCUGAAAUGGACCAAAGCAGGGAUCUGAAAUGGGCCCUGAUAGGAGGAGCUGUUGGAAUCGCUAUUGGUGUUUUAAUCAUUGCUUCUGCCUGGACAUAUUACACAUUAUGUUUUAAGAAGUCAAGACAGACGAGGCACCAAGACAUCGAGUCAAACUGUGAUCAGUCAGAGUCUCUUCUUAAC